UCCGCAAAGCCGUUCCUCAGUUCGCCGGCGGAGCUGCCCCGGGCUGCUCCACUCCAAUCAUCUCAUCCAGACAAAUGGGCAAAACCCGGCUGGCCUCCCUCUGCCAUUCUCAGAUUUUUUAAAAACCCCCAAACCCCAAACCACCACCACUAAAAACGAUUCAAGAGUACACCAUCGGGAAGGCUGACGACUCCCCGGAAUCGUUUUCUCCCUCCCAUCUCACCCCUUUAUUCUAAUCUAGAUCAGCAGAGGCUCCCGCUGACUCCUCUUACCCAAUCCUCAUACCUCUCUCGCCAGUCAAUCAGUUGCAUCGACUGGGCGCCUGCCGUGUGCUGAGCCUGAACUGAGUGCUGGCGAGAGUGCAGUGGAGGUAUAAAACAGGAGUUUGCAAUCUCAUGGUGGAGAGAGAAUAAUAAUAUAUUAAUAAGAAUACUGGUUUACUCUGUUAGGUGCCGGGGCAGCGUGUCAGAUCAUACAGUUCCUGUUCCACUGUGGCUCGCGGUCUAAGGGAGCCGGAGAACAGCUGUUUGGAGUUGAAAAUAGGCAUGAGAGGACACCCCGGGAGAACUGAACUGGCUUCGGAAAACCUCUCCUUCCCAAGUUCCAGUGAAACGAGGGACUCCACUGUUUGGAGCUGGUUCUCAAUCACGUAGUGAGUGACCCGAGCUGGUGAGCUGAUGCAGCCAAUUGAUGGCCCCGCAAAGUUGGCAAGUUUCUACACCUCUCAAUAUUUAGAUCAAAAGGAGUGUAAACCUGACCCAAAGAAUUUUUCCCCAAAGUGCAAUGUAGUCUGACCGCUAAUGCAGUAUUGAUACCGACAAACAUCAAUGUCAUUAUGACUGUGUACACAACUUUACACCACCCCAAACAAAAACAAAGAAAUGCAGCACUGAUAUUGACACAUUGUUAGCAGUCAUUAUGACUAACUAAGCUGCACAAACAAAAACAACAACACAAAAACCCACAUAUAUUUUCUGUGCCUGGAUUGCAGAACUAGCCUGAAAGCUAACCAAAAAUGGUUGAGUUAAUUUGAGUUAUCUAUCACAACACACCAGAGGUCACAGUGGAACUUGGGAAACAAAAUGAGUUAGCUUAUUAGUAGUAGAUAAUGGAUUUCUUCAUAUUAUAUUUUAUUGAAACCACAACAUCCACAGGGCCUCAUAAUUUGAUUCAAGCAGUGCAAGAUAUGGCCUGCUUCUCGAAAGAAAUAUAAUUUACUUCAGAUAAAGGCAUGUGUUAGGAAGAUCGAUUGGUUCCAGGCAUAUUUCACCUCUGGUGUGAAAGCAUCCUUGGGUGGCUAUUACUACUACUAAUAAUUAUGAUACUCGUUAAAAGGUUAUUAUUUUUUUAACCAAGCACUCACUGUAUUAAGAGGUGGGGUAGGCAGAAGAUAACUCGGUUGGACACGUUCCCUUGUCCCUUAUGGAGUCUCACAGUCUAAGUAGA